GCCCAUCCCGGCCUGAGAUAAUUAUAUAUAUCUAAUAUAUAUAUCAUAACAAUAAAGUUUCAUAUUAUAUGCUAAUGAAUAUAUCAAAAUCGGACUUGUUAGGCGGGUUUGAUAUUGACCUUUCAGGAAUGUGCGGGCCAGGACAAAAAAUAGAGACCCAAUGUCCGGAUCAGGCCGUGCCUGAGCAUAAACACUGGUCCUAAUUUAUGCUGUAGAGACUAGCCUUGGCUGGCAUUCGAU
rnacentral:lncRNA from 1 species